GCUGGGUGUGGUGGCUGGCGCCUGUAAUCCCAGCUACUUGGGAGGCUGAGGCAGGAGAAUCACUUGAACCCAGGAGGCUGAGGCUGCAGUGAGCAGAGAUUGCGCCACCGUGCUCCAGCCUGGGUGACAGAGUGAGACUCUGUCUCAU
rnacentral:SRP_RNA from 2 species